AGCGAACGCUGGCGGCAGGCUUAACACAUGCAAGUCGAGCGGACCCUUCGGGGUUAGCGGCGGGCGGGUGAGUAACGCGUGGGAAUAUGCCCUUCUCUGCGGAAUAGCCUCGGGAAACUGAGAGUAAUACCGCAUACGCCCUUUGGGGGAAAGAUUUAUCGGGGAAGGAUUAGCCCGCGUUGGAUUAGGUAGUUGGUGGGGUAAUGGCCUACCAAGCCGACGAUCCAUAGCUGGUUUGAGAGGAUGAUCAGCCACACUGGGACUGAGACACGGCCCAGACUCCUACGGGAGGCAGCAGUGGGGAAUCUUAGACAAUGGGGGCAACCCUGAUCUAGCCAUGCCGCGUGAGUGAUGAAGGCCUUAGGGCUGUAAAGCUCUUUCAGCUGGGAAGAUAAUGACGGUACCAGCAGAAGAGGCCCCGGCUAACUCCGUGCCAGCCGCCGCGGUAAAAC
rnacentral:rRNA from 1 species